GUGUUGUAAGUGUCUAAGGGCGCACGGUGGAUGCCUUGGCGCAAGGAGCCGAUGAAGGACGUGGGAGGCUGCGAUAUGCCUCGGGGAGCUGUCAACCGAGCUGUGAUCCGAGGAUUUCCGAAUGGGGAAACCCAGCACCAGUCAUGUGGUGUUACCCGCCGUUGAAUAUAUAGACGGUGUGGAGGGAACGAGGGGAAGUGAAACAUCUCAGUACCCUCAGGAAGAGAAAACAAUAGUGAUUCCGUGAGUAGUGGCGAGCGAAAGCGGAUGAGGCUAAACCAUGCACAUGUGAUACCGGGUAGGGGUUGUGUGUGUGGUGUUGUGGGGUUCAUCUUUCCAGCUCUACCUGGCUGGACAGCAGUAAGAAAGUGUCAUGUUAGGUGAAGUGGCCUGGAAUGGUCCGCCGGAGAGGGUGAGAGUCCCGUAACUGAAAACGUGGUGCCUGUUGUGAUGGAUACCCGAGUAGCAGCGAGCCCGUGGAAUUUGCUGUGAAUCUGCCGGGACCACCCGGUAAGCCUGAAUACUACCUUGCGACCGAUAGCGGACAAGUACCGUGAGGGAAAGGUGAAAAGUACCCCGGGAGGGGAGUGAAAUAGUACCUGAAACCGUGUGCUUACAAUCCGUCAGAGCCCUCGUUGUGGGGUGAUGGCGUGCCUUUUGAAGAAUGAGCCUGCGAGUCAGUGCUCGGUGGCGAGGUUAACCCGUCUGGGGGUAGCCGUAGCGAAAGCGAGUCCGAAUAGGGCGUUUGAGUCGCCGGGUCUGGACCCGAAGCGGAGUGAUCUACCCAUGGCCAGGGUGAAGCAGCAGUAAGAUGUUGUGGAGGCCCGAACCCACUUAGGUUGAAAACUGAGGGGAUGAGCUGUGGGUAGGGGUGAAAGGCCAAUCAAACUCCGUGAUAGCUGGUUCUCCCCGAAAUGCAUUUAGGUGCAGCGUCACGUGUUUCUUGCCGGAGGUAGAGCUACUGGAUGGCCGAUGGGCCCUCACAGGUUACUGACGUCAGCCAAACUCCGAAUGCCGGUAAGUGAGAACGUGGCAGUGAGACUGCGGGGGAUAAGCUUCGUAGUCGAGAGGGAAACAGCCCAGAUCGCCGGCUAAGGCCCCUAAGCGUGUACUAAGUGGAAAAGGAUGUCCGGUCGCGAAGACAACCAGGAGGUUGGCUUAGAAGCAGCCACCCUUGAAAGAGUGCGUAAUAGCUCACUGGUCUAGUGGCUGGGCGCCGACAAUGUAGCGGGGCUCAAGUACACCGCCGAAGCCGCGGCACUCACAGUUUUGACUGUGGGUGGGUAGGGGAGCGUCGUGCAGCCGUAGAAGCAGCAGGGUGACCUAGUUGUGGAGGCUGUGCGAGUGAGAAUGCAGGCAUGAGUAGCGAAUGACACGUGAGAAACGUGUCCUCCGGAUGACCAAGGGUUCCUGGGCUAGGUUAAUCCUCCCAGGGUGAGUCGGGACCUAAGGCGAGGCCGACAGGCGUAGUCGAUGGACAACGGGUUGAUAUUCCCGUACCCGUGUCAGAUCGCCCCUGAUGAAUCAGUUGUACUAACCGUCCUGAAGCCGCGAGAUCACCUUCGGGUGACGAGCUGGUGGAUGCACGGGACCUCGGCUGGUAGUAGUCAAGCGAUGGGGUGACGCAGGAAGGUAGUGGGGCCAGUCAGUGGUUGUACUGGUGUAAGCCUGUAGGGCGAGAUCUAGGCAAAUCCGGAUCUCAUACAGCCUGAGAGGUGAUGCGUAGCCGUUGCGGUGAAUUCCAUGAUCCUAUGCUGCCGAGAAAAGCCUCUAGCGAGAUCUGAUGUGGCCCGUACCCCAAACCAACACAGGUGGUCAGGUAGAGAAUACCAAGGAGAUCGAGAGAACUGUGGUUAAGGAACUCGGCAAAAUGCCCCCGUAACUUCGGGAGAAGGGGGACCUCGCAUGGUGACCGGAUUUACUCCGUGAGCUGUGUGGGGUCGCAGAGACCAGAGAGAAGCGACUGUUUACUAAAAACACAGGUCCAUGCGAAGUCGUAAGACGAUGUAUAUGGACUGACGCCUGCCCGGUGCUGGAAGGUUAAGAGGACCGGUUAGCCGUAAGGCGAAGCUGAGAAUUUAAGCCCCAGUAAACGGCGGUGGUAACUAUAACCAUCCUAAGGUAGCGAAAUUCCUUGUCGGGUAAGUUCCGACCUGCACGAAUGGCGUAACGACUUCUCUGCUGUCUCAACCACAGACUCGGCGAAAUUGCAGUACGAGUAAAGAUGCUCGUUACGCGCGGCAGGACGAAAAGACCCCGGGACCUUCACUAUAGCUUGGUAUUGGUGUUCGGUUCGGUUUGUGUAGGAUAGGUGGGAGACUGUGAAGCGGGCACGCCAGUGUUCGUGGAGUCGUUGUUGAAAUACCACUCUGAUCGUAUUGGAUACCUCAACCUCGGACCAUGAUCUGGUUCAGGGACAGUGCCUGGUGGGUAGUUUAACUGGGGCGGUUGCCUCCCAAAAUGUAACGGAGGCGCCCAAAGGUUCCCUCAGCCUGGUUGGCAAUCAGGUGUUGAGUGCAAGUGCACAAGGGAGCUUGACUGUGAGACUGACAGGUCGAGCAGGGACGAAAGUCGGGACUAGUGAUCCGGCACCGGCAAGUGGAAGCGGUGUCGCUCAACGGAUAAAAGGUACCCCGGGGAUAACAGGCUGAUCUUCCCCAAGAGUCCAUAUCGACGGGAUGGUUUGGCACCUCGAUGUCGGCUCGUCGCAUCCUGGGGCUGGAGUAGGUCCCAAGGGUUGGGCUGUUCGCCCAUUAAAGCGGCACGCGAGCUGGGUUUAGAACGUCGUGAGACAGUUCGGUCUCUAUCCGCCGCGCGCGUUAGAAACUUGAGGAAGGCUGUCCCUAGUACGAGAGGACCGGGACGGACGAACCUCUGGUGUGCCAGUUGUUCCACCAGGAGCACGGCUGGUUGGCUACGUUCGGAAGGGAUAACCGCUGAAAGCAUCUAAGCGGGAAGCCUGUUCCAAGAUUAGGUUUCUCACCACCUUGAGUGGGUAAGACCCCCUACAGACUAUGGGGUUGAUAGGCCAGAACUGGAAGCGCAGUAAUGCGUGUAGGUGACUGGUACUAAUCGGUCGAGGGCUUACCACACA
rnacentral:rRNA from 1 species